rnacentral:rRNA from 1 species
UACAGAGGAUGCAAGCGUUAUCCGGAAUGAUUGGGCGUAAAGCGUCUGUAGGUGGCUUUUUAAGUCCGCCGUCAAAUCCCAGGGCUCAACUCUGGACAGGCGGUGGAAACUACCAAGCUGGAGUACGGUAGGGGCAGAGGGAAUUUCCGGUGGAGCGGUGAAAUGCGUAGAUAUCUGGAGGAAUACCGGCGGCGAAGGCGGCAUCCUGGACCGGCAUUGACGCUGAUGAGCGAAAGCCAGGGGAGCAAACGGG